CAAAUAUCCAAUGAAAGCAGAGCAGCAGAAAGACGUGCUGAGUGUAAAGCUGUCAGCAGGGGGAAUAACACAGGGCUGUGAAUGAGUCCUGUCACUGUGAUCAGGCUCCUCCUUCUAAUCCACCAACUUAGUGUUGAUGAAGACUAAACAGAGAGAUCACAGCUUCUUUAUACUUGCUGUAGCUCACAGUUACUCUACACUGCAGAUAUGACGCCUCUGUUCAUCUCAGUGCUGCUGGCUGCUAUGUGCCUCGAAUGCAGAGCACAAAAAGACAACGUGCUGCAAGCAAAAGGAGAAGAGACUGCUGCUGCAGGAGACACAGUAACACUUCACUGUCUCUAUAACAGCAGCAUCUCAUCGGGUAAUUCUCUCUUCUGGUACAAACAGGAUGGAAACAACAGCCCCAAAUUCAUCCUGAGUCGUGUUAGUGGAGAUGAUGGAAACACAGCAGCCGAGUUCAAGGAGAGAUUUUCAUCCACACUGGAUUCCAGCAUCAGAUCAGCUCCUCUGAAGAUCCAGAAGCUUCAGCUGUCUGACUCUGCUGUGUACUACUGUGCUCUGCAGCCCACAGUGACAGGAAACACCAAAACUCUGUACAAAAACCUUUGGAGCAAAGACAACAGAAUACUCCACAACAUCCACUAGAGGGAGCCACACACUGCUAAACUUCUCUGGUUUGUUUCAUUCAGUUUCAUUUGGCGACAGUGGGAAGGAAAAACUCCCUUUUUUACAUGAAGAAACCUCCAGCAGAACCAGGCUCAUCUGCGUGACCAGUU